GUGGGGAAUCUUCCGCAAUGGACGAAAGUCUGACGGAGCAACGCCGCGUGAGUGAAGAAGGUUUUCGGAUCGUAAAGCUCUUUCGUUAGGGACGAACGUGCUCUUUGUGAAUAAUGAGGAGUAAUGACGGUACCUAAAUAAGAAGCCACGGCUAACUACGUGCCAGCAGCCGCGGUAAUACGUAGGUGGCAAGCGUUGUCCGGAAUUAUUGGGCGUAAAGCGCGCGCAGGCGGGAUAUCAAGUCUGUCUUAAAAGUGCGAGGCUCAACCUCGUGAGGGGACAGAAACUGGUAUUCUUGAGUGUCGGAGAGGAAAGUGGAAUUCCUAGUGUAGCGGUGAAAUGCGUAGAUAUUAGGAAGAACACCAGUGGCGAAGGCGACUUUCUGGACGAAAACUGACGCUGAGGCGCGAAAGCCAGGGGAGCGAACGGGAUUAGAUACCCUAGUAGUCC
rnacentral:rRNA from 1 species